AUGUGUCUGUCGAGCUAUUUAAUUUGUUUUGUUUGUUGUCUUAACCUCACUUUAUGAAUAGCAAAUCAAAUUUCCUUGAAUACGCCACACAUAUGAUGUUAUUUCUACUCUAGACUGGAUUGUUUUCAAAACAGGAAAUACACAUGUAAAGGAUUGCGUUAAAAUGACGUUUGUCCGCUUUGUGCAAAUAUGUCUGAUACUUCUUGCAGCAACCACCUGCAGCAUAACACAAAAUUCAAGAAAAUGUAAGGCUAUACACUGUGUCAGCUGGAAUUUUUCACACGUCCAGUGCAAGGUCCAAGAAAACAUCAGCACCAUAAAGCUUUUACAACAACAUUCUAUAAGCAAAUGCGUUAAUGGAAGGACUUUUGGUACAUUUGGAAGACACGUGUGGGUAAAGAGUGGCUGUCGAGGGACAUUUGAAAUUUGUUUUGGAGCUUAUAAACACCGACAUGCUCUGCACGAUUACUAUAAAGUUAUUCGAUAAAUUUAAGUCCAGAUUAAUGUUUUAGUAGCCUCAUUCAUUGCAAUGAUAUCGACAUGGAUUUUUGUGCAAAAUAUUUGACUUUAUUUGAGACAUUGACAUAUCUUAACGAAAUGUCUUAUAUAAUAAUGUUCUCAUUUAAAAUACAGAAAUAGUUGAGAGUUUCACAAAGUAUCUGAAGUCGAACGUGUUAAUAUGCUUCCAAUUAAGUAGUAACGCGAAAAGAAUCUAGAGCGGCCAUUAUCACUGACGCGAGUGGAAGCGAUGGCAUUUGAUACUGGAAAAACCAAGCAAGGUCACGUAAGCUUACGCCUUCUUAAACUGUGAGGUUCUAUUAUUCUUACACAGUGUUGUUAUUUUUUCUCGUCCUUUGGGAUCAUGGAGUCCAUUCAAUAACCGAGUCUGCUAUUACCUUGCUUGGUUGCAUUCGGUGCUUCUAAAGGAUCUUCUUAUAGAUUUUAUUAUUUUAAUGUGGGAGAGAAUUCGGCACUAUGAAAACAUUUCAAGUCUUUAUAUGUAUAUGAAAUGAUUGUUACAACGUAUAUUUAUGUAUCCAUAUCAAAAGCCAAGUUACUGUAUUAUACAACAAGUUGUUUGCCUGUCACUUUAUAUUCAAUUUGCCUUUACAUAAAGCGUUUAUUUCUUGAAAGCGCAUUAGAAUUAACAAAUAAAAUGCUUUUGUUAAUAACGGAAUCAAUAAAUAUAACAUCAAAGCAA